rnacentral:rRNA from 1 species
UCGGGAAUCUUGGGCAAUGGGCGAAAGCCUGACCCAGCGACGCCGCGUGGAGGACGAAGCCCUUCGGGGUGUAAACUCCUUUUGCCAGGGACGACUUCGGACGGUACCUGGUGAAUAAGCCCCGGCUAACUACGUGCCAGCAGCCGCGGUAAUACGUAGGGGGCGAGCGUUGCCCGGAUUUACUGGGCGUAAAGCGCACGUAGGCGGC